rnacentral:rRNA from 1 species
CACGUAGGGUGCGAGCGUUGUCCGGAAUUAUUGGGCGUAAAGAGCUCGUAGGCGGUGUGUCGCGUCGGCCGUGAAAACCUGCAGCUUAACUGUGGGCUUGCGGUCGAUACGGGCAUCACUGGAGUUCGGCAGGGGAGACUGGAAUUCCUGGUGUAGCGGUGAAAUGCGUAGAUAUCUGGAGGAACACCGGUGGCGAAGGCGACGUCCUGGACCGGCAUUGACGCUGAGGCGCGAAAGCCAGGGGAGCAAACGGG